GACGAACGCUGGCGGCGUGCUUAACACAUGCAAGUCGAACGGAAAGGCCCUGCUUUUGUGGGGUGCUCGAGUGGCGAACGGGUGAGUAACACGUGAGUAACCUGCCCUUGACUUUGGGAUAACUUCAGGAAACUGGGGCUAAUACCGGAUAGGAGCUCCUGCUGCAUGGUGGGGGUUGGAACGUUUCGGCGGUUGGGGAUGGACUCGCGGCUUAUCAGCUUGUUGGUGGGGUAGUGGCUUACCAAGGCUUUGACGGGUAGCCGGCCUGAGAGGGUGACCGGCGACAUUGGGACUGAGAUACGGACCAGACUCGUACGGGAGGCAGCAGUGGGGAAUAUUGCACAAUGGGCGGAAGCCUGAUGCAGCAACGCCGCGUGCGGGAUGACGGCCUUCGGGUUGUAAACCGCUGUCGCCUGUGACGAAGCGGGAGUGACGGUAAUGGGUAAAGAAGCACCGGCUAACUACGUG
rnacentral:rRNA from 1 species